GUUCAUUGCCACGUUCAUUGCAUCCCAGUACAACAAAGCGAAACACCUCCACGGGCCUCUUUUCGCUCGUCACCGUUUACAGUGUAGCGUGAGCCCGUUCUCAGGUCUGAUAUUUCUGGCAGAAGCUACAAAGGCGCCUGUUCCUGCAGCGAGCGUCGGCAUAACCGAGCGAACGAGUACAACAGUGAAGGACAAAAGAGCAACGCGGGGCGCUGCUCGGAAUGAAAGGCGGCGAUAGUGAAGACUGCACGUAAAGGAAAUCGGAGGAGGAGGGUGCAGCGGAACCAUGAGGCGGAAAGCAUGAGAAGAAAAGCGCAGUGCUGCGCAAGACGUGUUCUGCGACUAUGGCUACAAGAUGGCACCGGAGUACUGCGCAUCGUCUGUUCACUCCUUUAUCUUUCUUCGGACACUGCUAUUCACAGGCUAACAAAUGUUAAACGUUAUCCCUCGACGCACGACGCGCCUGCAUGUAUCAGAUGUUUCUCGAAUGUUAUCAAUAGUUCUAUCUGCUGGCUGUUGUUACCAAAGCGUUUUGUAAUCUGAUUGUAUGCAGAACACAUAAUGUGUUGUACUUUCCGGAAGCCACGCGGGCACCAGCGAUUACACUGGAUCCUUCGACGACACUUGUACAAAAGCCGCCGUGCUUUACCCACAGAUCAGAUUUUCGACGAUUGCCGACUCCACUCACCACUAUCAUUAUGUUUGAGUGUGACUUGUUUUGCUGGGUACAAGUUCGCCCAGUAAAGAGUUAAAUUUGUAACUCACAGUUUCAACACUUUGUCGUUCUUCACCGUCACUACCUCAUGACAAUAUAAUCAUAAUAGAAAAUAGUGUCAGCCAGUUCUUUCUGAACAGUGAGCGAUGCUAAACGAGCUGGUCGAGCAGAGGCUCAAGCACCACCACCGAGAGGACCGGGUAGUUCAGAAUCAAAUUCUUUGCCACAAUAUAUUGCAAAUUCAAGAUAUCUAAACAGCUGCACUCAAAAGUUGCAUUAGGGAGUAUAGCAAUCGUUGGUGAACUUUUUUAGCUAGAACCCAGCAAAAGUUUCAGUCCCAUCAGUUGGUUACCAUUGAUUAACACCUGUGUGCCAAUGUAUGAAAUGUAAAUAGAUGCACAUGUGAUUUAUUUGUUCUUGUAUGCGUAAUACAACAUAUAGUGCAAGACUUUCUCAUGCACGUUUGAGCACAGAAAGCAAACAGUCAAAAGGGGUAGGCCAGAGGCCAAAAUGGAGAGCAGAAAAAAUGCACUGCAUUUGUCAGUCCCUACAUGCAGGGACAGAUACAGCAAUCUACAUACACAAGCUCUUCAUACUGAAGGUAGACAGCUUUACGCUGCUAGGUAGUUACGGCAUUCUCUAGCUAAUACUACUGGUACAGGCAACACACAAAGCAAUAACUCCCAGCACACAGUCAGAGAUGUGGUAACUCGUAUAACAGCAAUUGUUAACUCCUGUAGCAACAUGUCAAGUGUCCUAUGUCAGCUUAUAUCGUUAAGACACCACAGCAGGACCAAAUGGAGAUCGCCACUUAACUUGUCCUGCAUCAACCAAACCCAGCUUGUAGCUGCAGAUUUUCUAAUAUCGCUUCGUCUAAUUCUCUGCCAUCCUCCACUCUGCUGCUCUAUCCUCGGCAACUAUAUGAGUACACUGACUGGCCACGUACCAACCCUGCUUCUAAUGUCAAUGCCAUUUACCCAUUUAUGAACUCUAAUCUACAGUGCCAUCUUUCUGUCUCAAUCUUGUUACAAAUAUCACUGGUAUCACUUUGUGUUCCACUGAGCGUUAUGAUGAUCACUGAUGAUUAAGUCCUUAGAUUUUUGUUGAUUUUUUAAAAUUCUCCAAUGACUCAUGACUUUUAGAAUGGCAUCCCACAUCGCAAGAUAUACUAAACAGCAUUUAAGCCUCACUUAAAUGUGAUGUAUAUAAGAUGGCACCAUUGUUCAGACUACUUUGUGCAGAGUCUUUAUAAAUGAUCAAAAAGAAAUGUGGGAACAUGCUUCACUCUCACUCAGAAUACACCCAUAAUGCGAAAUGGGAAAGCCCAUAGGCAACACUAUGACAGGACAUCAACUCUUUGAAACAAAGGCAUUUCGAUUAUUAUUUUUCAAAUGUAAACUAGGUAAACCAAAAUGCAGCUUGUUAAUGGUAGUGGAUGGUGUUAGAAUGCAGUGAAUGCAGACUGCUUGAAUGCGGCAACUGGCACACUUUCAGAACAAUGUUGAAUUAAUUACACUAAUUCAUAGACAUUUAGUUUUUUUCUUAAGAAUUAGGAAUCAGCUUCAGUAAAGAUCCUGACCUGUUGCUGGACAAUUAGUACAGUAAUUUACAGUACAAUUAGUAAUUCACUGUACUAUGAGUGUGCUUAAGAAACACACACACUCUCAUGAAGUCACCUCCUGCGCAACACCUGAGGAUAUUAUGAAGCUGUUCAAUGUAUCAAAAGUUGCUUUGCUAUAAAUAUCUAACUGCAUAUUGUGGGGUUUUGAGUGCUUCUAAUAGUUGCGCAACAAAGCUACGCUCCCGAGAAAUUCAUGUCCUUCACCUUCCUGUCUGGACAUAAAAUGCUGUCACUCAGCUGUCAUUCCCACCCACAGGAGGUCAAACUAGAUGUCCCAGUGGCAGAGUUUCUGGCGGGACUCAGGCCCUUGUGUGUGGCCCAAGACAGGGUCUCAGGAGACCACAUCCAGGUGUCGGAAGGUGCGUAUGUGUUCCUCCCUGCUGGCAGUGGUCCCUUUGUGCACUGCUGGCUGAUGGUCACUUCGGUUCGUCAGGGUCCCAGUCUCGGUGGGCGUGUGCACACUCCCGUGGUCUCAAUAUCCUGAGGCAGCACUUUCCAAUCGUGCCUCUGUCUGUUCCCCUCUUUGUAUCUCUUUCUACUUUCUCUGCUGUGGGGUGCGUAAUGGCAGGCAUUGGCCUAAGGUUAGGUGGCCUCUCUACACUGAGUGCUCUGGUCUUUUUCUCUGUCGCGGUGCGCCAUUAUCAGCCAGCGGCAGUCAUGUGGCCAUGUUGUAUAGCAAUUAGAUUUUGAUUCGGUUGCGUCAUUAACUUGUGUUGUAUCAAAACUCAGCCUAAUAAAUGUCCUGUUUUCUGCCUGGA